UACGAAGGGGGCUAGCGUUGUUCGGAAUUACUGGGCGUAAAGGGCGCGUAGGCGGGUCUUUAAGUCAGGGGUGAAAUCCUGGAGCUCAACUCCAGAACUGCCUUUGAUACUGAAGAUCUUGAGUUCGGGAGAGGUGAGUGGAACUGCGAGUGUAGAGGUGAAAUUCGUAGAUAUUCGCAAGAACACCAGUGGCGAAGGCGGCUCACUGGCCCGAUACUGACGCUGAGGCACGAAAGCGUGGGGAGCAAACAGG
rnacentral:rRNA from 1 species